rnacentral:misc_RNA from 1 species
GAUGAAGAACGUAGCGAAAUGCGAUAAGUAAUGUGAAUUGCAGAAUUCAGUGAAUCAUCGAAUCUUUGAACGCACCUUGCGCCCUUUGGCUAUUCCGAAGGGCAUGCCUGUUUGAGUAUCAUGAACACCUCAACUCUCAUGGCUUGCCAUGAAGAGCUUGGACUAUGGGGGUCUUGCUGGCCUGUGGUCGGCUCCUCUCAAAUGAAUCAGCUUGCCGGUGUUUGGUGGCGUCACAGGUGUGAUAACUAUCUACGCUUGUGGUGUUUUCCACCAGGUAACCUUCAGCAAUGGAGGUUCGCUGGGGCUCAUAAAAGUCUCUCCUCGGUGAGGACAGCUCUUUUUGAACGUUUGCUCUCAAAUCAGGUAGGACUACCCGCUGAACUUAAGCAUAUCAAUAAGCGGAGGA